rnacentral:rRNA from 1 species
CCUACGGGGGGCAGCAGUGAGGAAUAUUGGUCAAUGGGCGGGAGCCUGAACCAGCCAAGCCGCGUGAGGGAAGAAGGUACAGCGUAUCGUAAACCUCUUUUGUCAGGGAACAAAGGCGGGGACUAGUCCCCGGAUGAGGGUACCUGAAGAAAAAGCAUCGGCUAACUCCGUGCCAGCAGCCGCGGUAAUACGGAGGAGGCGAGCGUUAUCCGGAUGUAGUGGGUUUACAGGGUGCGCAGGCGGCCUGUUAAGUCAGCGGUAAAAGCCCGGGGCUCAACCCCGGCGAGCCGUUGAAACUGGCGGGCUGGAGUUGGCGAGACGUACGCGGAAUGCGCUGUGUAGCGGUGACCUGCUUAGAUAUCGCGCAGAACCCCGAUUGCGACGGCAGCGUACCGGCUCCACCCUGCCGCUGAGGCACGAAAGCGUGGGUAUCGAACAGGAUUAGCUACCCUUGUAGUC